AUUGAACGCUAGCGGCAGGCCUAACACAUGCAAGUCGAGCGGAGCGGCGGACGGGUGAGUAAUGUCUCGGAACCUGCCUGGUAGCGGGGGAUAACGUCCGGAAACGGGAGCUAAUACCGCAUACUAUCAGAUGAGCCUAUGUCUGAUUAGCUAGUUGGGGGGGUAAAGGCCUACCAAGGCGACGAGCCGUAGAUGGUCUGAGAGGAUGAUCAGUCACACUGGAACUGAGACACGGUCCAGACUCCUACGGGAGGCAGCAGUGGGGAAUAUUGGACAAUGGGCGAAAGCCUGAUCCAGCCAUGCCGCGUGUGUGAAGAAGGUCUUCGGAUUGUAAAGCACUUUAAGCUGGGAGGCGUUACCAACAGAAUAAGCACCGGCUAACUUCGUGCCAGCAGCCGCGGUAAUUC
rnacentral:rRNA from 1 species